rnacentral:misc_RNA from 1 species
UUUGGCUGGUCAGUUUCAGCAAUGGUUGCGUGUACCUUAAAAGAAAGCAAUUGCUUCCUGGGUGUGGGAGCGAAGCGAGAAGCAUCUCCAGCAGAAGAAUAUACUAAAGGGUAAAUCUUUUUAACUGAAUUGUUAUUAUUCCGAGUUGGUGGGAGAGCCGGUUGUAGAGAAUUCAAGGUAGAGGAGAAGGAGGUGAGCAGUGAAGAAGACAAACGAAGUGAGUGAAAAGACGUUGAUUGAAAAACAUCAGCCAUUUAGAAAUUGAUUGAAAGAAGAGGGCAAAAAAAUAUUUCUCAAAUUGCAGACUAGCAGAAGAAAUUGAACUACACGAGGUCAAAAGCACAGAAGAAAAGCCAUAGAUGGAGGAAGAGGAAGUGAGGUCAGAUGGAGUUGUCCUGGGUGCGUGAUUAAGAGAAG